rnacentral:lncRNA from 1 species
AUGUAAUAAGUUUAUUGGAUUUCUAAAUAUAAUAAAGUAGUUGUAAUUCUUUUACAGAAAAAAGGAAUAUGAUUUUCAUAUUUAUUCUCAUAGAGCAGUGUAAAAACAUAAUUGAUAGGAAAAAACUCAUAGAAGGUAAAUAGAAACAUGAUUUAAAAUAGUUGGUGAUGUAUAAAUACAAAAGAAAAUACCCAAAUCACUUGCUUAUAACAGGUUUUAUUCUCUUAUUUUCAUAAGGAACCAUGAGGGCUAUUUUGCAUGUGUCAGUGAUGGUUCAUGAUGUAGUGGACAAAUGCAAUUUGCUAAGAAUGAAAAAGAGAAAUAUAUUUUGGGAAUACUAUGGCUCUGUCAGUAUCAUACAUAUGAAAAAGGCAUAUUCCCUAUAUGUUUUUUGUGUGUGUGUGUUUUUUUAAGUCAGAGAAUGUUAUUCAGACUAGCAGCUGAUCAUGGUGGGGCUAUGACUGUACUUUGUUAGUAGGAAGUUCUUGUUGACACAAGUAGCAUAGACAAAACCUGGCUUCUCCCCCUUCUCCUUGAUCUAUUCACUUGUAAAUAACAUUUAAUAUCUACAUAAAACUCUUAUAGUCUCGAUCAGAUUGAAACCUGGAGCAAAGCCAUGCUGUCUCUUUCCCAGCCCAUCUUGUUCCCAAGGAGGAAAAACUCCAUAGUAUUCCAAUGCCCCUUUUGACGUCACACAGAGAUUUCUGAACUCUUAUCUAGCACUAACACCUGAUUCUCUAAAAAACAGAAAGUGACUAGUGUUGACAUUGAAUAAGGUAUAAACAGAACAUCAGGAAGAGUAGAGUUUCAGUGAAGAUUAUCACUUUCUCCAAGGAAACAAAUGUCUCAUCAAAUGAGGACAACUAAGGAAGGGUGAUCCACACUCUUGAAAUGAUGAAACCAGAUCCAUUCUGCUCUUCUCCCUAAUUUAAGUAGCAGAGUUCCUUGAAUGGAAAACAGAGUGGUGGCUGACUGCAAUGCCAUAGAAAGCAUCUUCCAUUGCUUGUCCCCUUUACUUCUAUUUGAUGAAACUGUGAGGGACAGGGGGCAACAACUUUGUGACCAAGAGGAUGCCAGGAGCUUCCUUGGGGAAAGGCUCAUGAGAGAUAGCCCCUCCUUUCCCGAAGCAGAGGUGGAAUCAAGUGAACAGGGAGACAACCGACUUAGAAGGGAAGAGAGCGACUUGGCAAGUGUAAUUUGCCAGCUGGUUGAGUCAGACGACACAUUGAGAAAGAUCUUUUUUGGAAGCACGUCCUCCCUUCAACCCUUUUCCUAAAAUCAUGCAUAGUCUUCCUCGUCCUAUUUGUCUAAACCCUCGACUGUUGCCGCACUUGGGUAAGAACCCGUCUUUCUAGGCUGGGCUGCUGCUCCAUUGACACCAUCUAUAGUUAUAAUGUCAAUGAUAGACCCAGGGAAACAAAGGCUACUAUUUAACAUGUGCUACUAUUUUUAGGAGUCAAAGUAAAGAUGCUCUAAGGCUCUGGCAAGGGCAUUUGGCCCCCUGAGCCUCCAAUUCUCACAGCCAAGACUUUUCUUUAGUGUUCACUCUUGUUCGCCUGGGAGAUAAAAGGAGAAGCAAUGUGCUGACAUUCUAAACCCACCAAUUCUUAGUUUAUAAAACAUACAUAUGACACAUAUCCUAUUACAGACCCUGGCUCAUUAAUUCUCUUAAACAAUUUUUUUCUGACUAAAUGUUCCAAUUCCAUAAAGCAUAAUAUAUUCCCUUGAAGCAGAGUGCAGGAAACCUCAGCAAUAUGCCACCAUCCAGUAGGAUAUAAAUAUAAAGUGGCUGUAUCAGCAAGGAAUGCUCAGGGAAAUGUGCUUGCAGCCUGUUCCCUGGUGCCACUAGGGAGGGGAUGUUGGAAAUGAGCGACUUUCUUCCAUUUGGCCAAGAUUUCUUAUCUUAGCACCUACUCCUUUUCGAUGGUAUGUUUUUGAAGGCUGCACAGUAUGACUCCGGGUACCGUGUGUACAUACAUAUGUAGGAAUAACGUUUAUGUUUCUCAGAAUAGGCACUUUUUGAAGGCAGUAAAUCUAAAAGUAAAGUUAAUAGAGCCUAUAUUUAGCGCUCAUCUUCUCACUUUGCUGAUGUGUAUGCUGAACAGAAGAUCACAGAUUUGAGUCAGUCUCGCAAAGAGGCCGGAGUCGGCAAAUGGCUAUAUUCAGAGCUGGGGAAGUCUUGCCAACUCAACUGUAGCUGUUAAAAGGCAGACUUGGAGAAGGUGCAAUCGUUUUUCUCAAAGGUGACAGCACAGAAGGAGAAAAGCCUGUGACAAAGCCAUGAAAUAAAAGCUGGUGUGUGCGGCUCAGAGAAAAUUACUAUCCUCCCGCUCUGCAUCUUCAUGUCACGUCUACUUCAUGGCACAAGAUUUGCUACUCAGAAAGCUCUUUCUUUUCCCUUCCUUUUUUGGGGGAGUGUCUCAUAAUUGCACAUAUUCCCAGUAGAGAGAGAGGUAGCCCCAAAUCUGUUAAAUUAAUGACAAAGGUGAGGCUUAAAAGACAAAGCAAAAACCAAAGUAGGUAACUGCAUAGAUAACAUUAUAAUAGUUCAAUGCUACAUCCAGCUGUGAAAGUUCUGCAUCUAGUUUAAGUUUUUGCUUAAGGCACAUUAAAUCACAUCAUCUUAGUCAUGCUAAAUAAUCAGACAAUCCAUGUCAUCUUUAAUUCUGUUUGCUCUUUCAUAUGUUUCCUGGAAAUGAAUGAGAACUAAUUCAGAUUUCUGGGGGGAGGGAGGAAUAUUCUGACUUUUUUGAAUAAGAAAGAAUUCUUGGAUAAUUUGCUCAUUAGCUUUCCCAAGAGAAUAAAUGAUACUAAAAGGAAGAAAGUCAUUUAAAAAUGACUUUGCAACUAUUCAUUAUAAACUAUUGGGGAGUGACAAGGUUUAGUUUUCAGGGUCCCAAAUCUCUUUCAUCAAGGAUACACAUCAGUUCAGAGAUUGCUAAGAAGGCUGGCAUGGUCUAUACCUGUUUCAAUUUACUACCUAGUGAGAAAGGUCCAAGGCACUUUAACACUUUUUGGCAAUUUCAUGGAUACGUUGCUGUGAUGGAAUUCAUCUACAAACUAAGCUGAAGGCAUGCAGGGUUAGUAUAAUGCAAACGCUGCCCAAAUAUCAACUCACCUUUUAGUCUUUGGAAGUUAAACCAUGAGGCCAUUUCUAUAGUUGGUGUUUAAAUGAUAAAAUCCCUUUUCCUCUCAAAGUCUGUGUUUGAAAGAAUGAAAUAUGUUGGCAGAUACAUCAUAACCUGGCUAAGCUAUUCAUUCUCUUACUUCUGGUUUAUAAUUACUAAGUGAUCAUCAAUUGUCACACAAAAAGAAAGAUGAAAAAGAACUGGAUUUUUUUUCCCCUUUACAUUUGUCUCUCAAGAGAGAAAAAGAAAAGGAGAAAUGUAUCCAAGAAAAGCUAGCUUUCUUCAUUUGGCAAUUUCUAAACUAAUUCAGAAGUGGAGUGAAAUAAUUUGGUGGUGAGGGACAUUCAGGUUUCAUAUUUACUCCCUCGUGAUGGAGGAAAAGGAGUUGAAAACACAAGUAUUAUUCUUACGCCUCAGUAUGAAGCAAAGCAGGCACCAUACAAAGUGGCAACAGAAUGUAUCAAUAAUAAUUGACCAAGAAUAGUUCUUUACCCUUUUCCCAACAGAUAGAAAUAUAAAGAGAGAAUCAAGCAGGAGAAAUGAAUACCUUCGUUUCCACCCCCAUCUCAAACUGCUUUGGCAUAUUUUAAGAGAUAAAUGGAUCCAUACAAAAUUUAAAUAGCUCCUUUUUUCCUUUUCUUUUUUGGCAGUCACAAAAAAUGGGUCAGGUCUAGGAAUUAUUAGUUUCUUGGCCUGAAAAAUCCAAGUGUUUUAAAAUAAAAUUUCCUUUUUGAAAGAUCAGCUUUCUUGGAAGGGGUGUGUGUGUGUGUGUGUGUGUGUGUGUGUGCGUGCACGCACGCGCAUGCAUAUGUGCAUGCACAAGCACAGAUGUGUAUUUUGAAGACAGCACUAUUGUAUUUUCCUUAAGUAUAGGGGGCAAUAUUUUGUAGAAUGGAGAAAGAAAAAAGGUAUUCAAAAUUUCCUUUACAUUUUGUAAAGAUAAACGAGAGUCUGUGGCUCCCUUAAUUUUUUUAAAGGGCUGCUUUUUCAUAUUGAUACCUCUUAUUCCCUCUAAUAAGAUAUCACAGGUUCCACCCACGUGAAUCUCUGCUCAGGCGUAUUCACCUAGAUCAUUCGGAAAAGUUUUCUCAAUGCUCCUGCUAAUCCAUGCCUGUGGUGGGGGUAUGCCAUUUUUUCUACAAGAAUCAUUUUCUACUUCAUCAAUCAUAACAUCAAACCUUACAGGAACAUGAAGCACCUUUCCAGUGUCUGAAUGUUGCCUUCUCAGCCAAGGCUACUACUGUGCUAGCCCCACUGGCCGCACAUGUUAUUUCCCAGGUGUGAAGACUGGAAAAGGGUGAGGGGCCAUUUGCCAUUUAACUUGGCCCUCAUCAAUCCAAGGGAAUUUAGUAGACAGAUGAUGAGACCGCCUUGAUGGAUGGUAGACUCUAGGGAGGGAAAAUGCCUAGAAAGCUUAUCAGAUAAGACCAUUUUAAAGGUUCCCUGCAGUAGAUUGAACUGGAUGAAGAAAGAAUAUUUUGCAACCAGUUAAUAGAUUUUAACUUAAAGCCAACAACUAUAAUGAGAAAUGGGAGGAAAUGAAAAGCUGAGCACACAUUAAAAGGCAUGGGUUCCCCAGGGAGGAAGCUGAAGAGAAGACCUGGUUGUUGAAAUGCCACGCAGAGCAGGUUCUAGAACAUGCAUGCAGGCUUCUCAGGAAGUGUGCUGGAAACGGCACAGUACCAAACUCCCCAUGAUAACCACUCACAAAAAACAAAACGACAACAGCUGGGAAAGUCCAGGCCCUCAAAGGGCAAAAGCUAAGCUGCAGGACCGCUAUCAGUCCUGUAGCAUUUGUUCAUAGACAUUUCAAGGUCAGCAUCAGCUAGUUGGCUGGGAAAUGCCUGAUACUGUAAGGUAUACUUGUGGGCCUCGAUAAAUGUGAGCAGAGAGAAGAAUAUGCAUUGUUUACCUCCAGCAGUUCCUGCCUCUGCGGGGCAUAAGUUGUAGCCCACGGGAGAGCAGCUUCUUGUAAGGAUCAAGUCACCCUCACAUGCCACUGAAUUCUAAAUGGCAUGGUCUCGGUUGAUAUUCUGAACCUCACAGUUCCAGAGAGUUUUUCAGUUAAUGUAAAGCAAACCACGGUCCCAGGGGAAAUUUGCUGCAGUGUACUUCAGUGCCACAGUGUUUGUUCUAAGCGGUGGCCUUUCCUCACCCACUCCAUCACGCUGCCAAUCAGAUAAAAUAGCUAGUAGUUUCCCACAAGAUGACACAGAAAAUGCACGAAAGCUCUAAAUGGUCGCAAGCACCACAGUGCACAUACAGCUCUGCCACCUGAUAGCUAAGUGAUCUGUGUGAAUUUCCUUGGAUGCCCUUAACACGGGGCAUGGUGGUCUGUGAGAUGCAUGCCACGUGCUCUGAGGUAUUCUGUGCCCUGGGAACAGCCACCAGAGUGAGCACUGGACUUGCAAGACCUGGGUAUGUCCCCAAAUCUGCCACUUACCAGCUCUAUUGCUUUUGGCAAGUCACUUAACAAUUCUGAGCCUCAGCUUUCUUGUCUAGGAUAGGGCUAUUAAUAACCUUCCUCCCGGGCUGUUUCAUGUGCAAAAGCAGUUUGUAAGAGUUAAUUACUGGGGGAAGGCAUGAGGUUACAUAAUGACUAUCAGAAAAGUUUGUCUUUUAUAAGAAAGUAAAAACAGCACCCCCAAACUCAUAAACUCUAAAACUUAACCUUCAGAAAACCCUUCAGACUAUUUUUAAGAAUGUUAAAGUUUUUCAUAAUCUUUAGCUAAAAAUCAAAAAAAAAUUUUUUUAAAAAGUAAUGCGUUGCCAAAACUAAAAUAUAUUUGAAAGGAAAAUGGAGGGAGGAAGCAAUAUUUUAUUAUGUACUAAAGAUUAAUUUUGUGUGGCACCUGGAAGCACCUAUGCCCCGAAGGCUGGUUCUGGGAGUUUGGAACAAAGUGUGAUGGAGAAAAUGGAAAAGCUCAAGAAGUAAUGUGCUCCUUGAUGCAGGUGAUGUUUGAGCAGAGUCUGGAUUAUCACUUAGCAAUAAAUCUGAAAGAGAAUUUUAACAGUGAGAGGAAGUGAGGAAUGUGGAAUCCUUUCCAACUGUGGACCAAUAGAGGUGCUCUGCUCAUUGUCUUGUGAGGCCUCAGAAGAUGGGGGUGUUCAGUGCAUAAGUGGAGUAUGUAGCUAUGAGCCAAUGCAAAUGUACAUUUUGAAUGUUAUCAUAAAGCUUCCUGUUCAUACUGUAUAUAUUGGAUUAUAUUUUGACAACUUAUCCUAUUUCACAAUUAUAUCGAGAUGAAAAAGCAAACAUCAAUCAAAUGAACUUUCCUCUGUGUCUUUCUCUUCUCACUGACCCUGAAUAUCUGGAAACCUUUUCUCCUGUUAAGGACAUUCCAGAAUUUGUGAUACUUAAAGCAGAGGAUCUUCU